rnacentral:rRNA from 1 species
AGGACGAACGCUGGCGGCGUGCUUAACACAUGCAAGUCGAGCGAGGCCCUUCCUUCGGGAAGGUGCCCUAGCGGCGAACGGGUGUGUAACACGUGGGCAACCUGCCCCUAGCACUGGGAUAAGCCCGGGAAACCGGGUCUAAUACCGGAUAUGACCUUCGAGGGCAUCCUUGAAGGUGUAAAGGAUUCUGGCUAGGGAUGGGCCCGCGGCCUAUCAGCUUGUUGGUGGGGUAAUGGCCUACCAAGGCGACGACGGGUA